rnacentral:rRNA from 1 species
AACGAACGCUGGCGGCAGGCUUAACACAUGCAAGUCGAGCGCAUCCUUCGGGGUGAGCGGCAGACGGGUGAGUAACGCGUGGGAAUGUACCCUUUGCUACGGAAUAGCUCCGGGAAACUGGAAUUAAUACCGUAUGAGCCCUUCGGGGGAAAGAUUUAUCGGCAAAGGAUCAGCCCGCGUUGGAUUAGCUAGUUGGUGGGGUAAAGGCCUACCAAGGCGACGAUCCAUAGCUGGUCUGAGAGGAUGAUCAGCCACAUUGGGACUGAGACACGGCCCAAACUCCUACGGGAGGCAGCAGUGGGGAAUAUUGGACAAUGGGCGCAAGCCUGAUCCAGCCAUGCCGCGUGAGUGAUGAAGGCCUUAGGGUUGUAAAGCUCUUUCAGUAGGGAAGAUAAUGACGGUACCUACAGAAGAAGCCCCGGCUAACUUCGUGCCAGCCGCCGCGGUAA